UUUUGUGGGGACACUUUACGUCCUUCAAAGAAGAAAAUCUGGAGACACCAUUAACUGUCCUGUGUUAGAUAUAACUAUCCUAUUUGCAGAUGAGAAAACCAAUUGAUAGAAGUUAAAAGUCUAAAAUGAUUUAGCUGGUAAGCAAAUGACCAGGAAUUAGAACACAGGUCUUAGGUUAUUUUCUUUCCUCUGUUUCUUUCAGGCAGCCCAGAUCCCAUUAAUGAUCUAUGGACCAAUUGAAAAACAUGCAACUUGUGCAGCAUUGGCUAGUACUUGUGCUGAAAGUAUACUUUUCCCACCUGCUAAGGGAUAUAGGCAAAUUCAAAGCCUCUGGUCUUUCUUGUGACAUUAAUGAAACUAGGUAAUAAAACAUUUCUAUUUUAUUUUAUACCACAUUUACUAUUGUAUUAAAGUACAGUAAUUCCAUUCAACGUACUUAGUUUUAAAUUUUCUUUCCUAUGUUUUCAACAGUGACGUUGUAAUUUUCAAAAGGGCCUUCUCCAUUUGGCAUAAACUAUUCCCUGUUGACUGAUAAGUUUGGUUAGAGUAAGGAUUACUCAAAAUUUACUUCUAGGACGUACAGUGUUGAUGAAUUAGAGGUGUUACUCCUUUAUUGUCCAUGUGGUUAAUACUGGACACUCUGCUUUCAUUAAUACUUGUCAGCUACAUUUUUCCUUUUUCAUUCUUUCAGUUCUGAUUGAACAGGUGCCCACUGAUUUGAAAAAUCCAUAUGUAAACUCAGGAUACUGGGCUCUUAUACCAUUUUAUGGUGGAUGGUUUGUGUAAAAUUGCAACUGAGUGAAUUUCAUUCAAGCAAUAGGAGUCUUGAAGAUCUGAGUCCAUUUUGAAAAAGUGUUAUGUUCUGUGUAUAUUUUCUGAUUCUUUACAUGCUGUCACAGAGCGCUGAUAGCUCAUACCAUUGUACAUGUCAAUAUCAUAGUUCAUUAACCAGCUUGGCAUUGCUUCGUUUUUCCCUCCAUAGAAUGUGCCUAAAUUUUUUGUUCUUAGUAAUAUUAAUAAUAAACUUCUUUUCCUGGUUCUGCUGGUCUUCAGAAUCAAACAGCAUUUUUAAGUUGUGGGGAAUUCUCAGCCCUGUAUCCACACCCACAGUCACGUGUGAAUGAAUACGAUAGUUAAACUAAGUUGUUUCUCUUGCAUACAAAUGUUUGACAGUGCUAAAAGACAAGGUUGGGUGGGAAUACUGAGAUAGAUGUUAGAGAUAAAAAUAGUGAAUAAAACUAAUUAAAAAAAAAAGCAAAGCAUAUGCCUACUAGUAAGAUUUGGCUUAUGCUCAUUACAGCAGACUCUUACUCAUGCAUUCAUUAGAUAAACCACUAAUUUUCAUUUCACGGCAUGUUUUCCUAUAAGCCGUAGGAAGCGUCUCCUUUCCCACUUUUAAUCUGUUUAGCAGUAUAUCUUCUAUACCAGCAUUAGAUUCAAAGUUCACUGUGAACUCUGCCCUCAGUUUAUUCAUCUGGCAUUUGUCCACUGAGCAAGAACUGUACUGGAGGCAUACUUUUCGAAUAAGCUUCUUUGCUCUGGCCUCACUGCUUUCACUUAGGGUGUUCUUGUUCAGAAUUUUUCUCCCUCUGUCUAAAUCCCGUCCUGAUGACCCAGUUCAUAUUCCUUUCUUUCAAGAACCCUUUCUUUUUGGCCCAUCUCUGAUCUCUUAAGUGUAUACUAUCCUGAGCAUUGUUAUGUAAGUGUUUCAUGUCAUCUACGUUUAAAAAUAUUGACCUUUUUUAAAGAGAUGAGGUCUUGUCAUUCUGGGCAUGAAACAAGUUCUAAGAAACACUUAACUAUUUAUCAUGAGUUUACUUUGCUAUAUAUAGUGCUAUGUACUUUACGUAUAUUAUUGUUGGUCUCACAAUGUUACAGAUGCGGAAUUAAGGACACAUUGGUUAAGUGAGUUGCCCCAUGAUCAGAUAGUAGCUUCUUUGUAGUUGUGAGGAUUUGUAGAUAGGUUUGUGAAGCAUCAAAGCCUGUGUUCUUUGUACUCUGUGAAAUUCUUGGUAUCUAUAGUUCAAAUGUUUGUGUGUGUGUGUGUGUGUGAACAACUAAGAGAACUAAGCAAAAGACUGAGUUUCUCUGAACAUGAUUUCCUUCUUUGACAGGUAUUUACUGAGUUCUGCUACACCAUGGCAUUAUCGUGAGUCCAAGUUUGAAGGACACUAACUUAGCUGUUCCUAUUUCCAAAGCUCUUGAAUCUAAUGGGUCUUACAGACAUAAGUAUUUUUUCCUACAUACAAGGCAGGAUGAAAUAAGAUCUAUAAAAGGAAAUUAAAUAGUUGUGUGGGUUCAUGGAAAAGAUGAUCACUUCCAGCAUGAGGAAUUAGGGAUGGUAGUAGCAGUUAGCACUUGUUCUGGGACUUGAUAGAAUUAUAGAAGUUGGCAAGAAGAUUGUGUUCAGAGUUCGGACUUUGGAACUUGGAGAGGUUGGGAUUCGAGUUCUUACUGCACUUACUAGCCAGGUAACUUUAGAAAAAUUAGCUAAUAGCUCUGACUUUUCUUCAUUUAGUAGCACUUACCCCUGGGGGUUGGGCAGAACACUAUAGGAAAAAAUUGCAUGUAAAUCUCUUAGCAUUGUGCCUAGCACAUAAUAAACACUCAGCAAAUGUUCUCUAAGGUAAGUAAUUUCGUGAGUGAGAAGGGCAUGAACAAAGGCUUGGAGGUAGCUUGAUGAUGGGUAUUGAGUUUGAAGAGAUUUUUAGUCUUUUCCAGACUACAUCUGAUGGGUCAUAGUGUGCCGAGCCUUGAAAGGUAGAUUUGAAAUUAUGGCUUCACUGAAUCAUUUUACCCUUAGAAUAUUAUCUUCUCUUUUUUAGACAAUAAGUAGAGUCACUAGAAUUUUUGUUGUUUUGUUUUGACAGAAAAGUGAUGUGUUGUAACCUGAAUUUUAGGAAAAUGACUUAUAAGACUGGGAAAAAUAGACUGAAGAACAGUGGAGGGGUACAGGGAGACUGAUGAUGCAGUGGACGAGGGGAGAACUGAUUGGAGUCCAAAUCAGUGCAGGUGGAAGGGGACAAAAGGGGAGCAAAAGUGUGAGAGCUUGCAGGAACAGAAAAAACUUCCUAUCAUUUUACCUUAAUAUCACGUGGACAAAUACCAAAAUGUAUUAUGCUUGUUUUCAGGUUAUAAAUCUUUAUAUGCCCAUUGUAGAGGAAAGCUUAAAGAGUAAGAUAAUCUUUUAUAAUUCUAGCACAUAGAAACAACCACUAUAUGCUUUAAGUCCCUUCCAAAUUUAAAACGUCCUUCAUACCCAGUGUUAGUUGAAAUAAUGGUUUAUUCUAAUAUUAACUAUCAGUUCAAGUCUCUAUAAUUGUGAUCAUUGUCAUUAUGGUGAAGUGGUUUUCCUUUAUUUGUUUUUGAGUAAUUAUAUUUUGUUGUGACAGAGCAGUGGAAGCUUUUUUGUUGUUUGGUGUGUCUGUUUUUGAUAAUUUGCAUAUUGAGAGUAGCUGAAAUUCCAGAUUUCUGCGGCCUUUCUUUUUUCUCUACUGAUAAAUAAAACCAACUUUGUGACAUUGGCUUUUUUUUAAAUAGGUCACCCUAAAAUGAACAAAAUUUUGUUGUAUUUCUAGAAUUAGCACCUUUAAAAUUUUUAUUUCGAAAUUUUAGGUUUACAGAAGAGUUGCAAAGGGUAUAAAACGUUCCUGUGUACCCUUCAUCCACCUUCUUCUAAUGUUAACAUCUUAUGUGAUAUGGUGUGUUUAUCAAAACUAAGAAAUUAACUAAACUAUAGCCUUUAUUCAGGUUUUCCUUAUUUUUCCACAGUUGUCCUUUUUCUAUCCCAGGGUUCAGUCCAGGAUUCCACAUUGCAUUUAGCCAUCAUAUUUCCUUAGUUAACCUCUUCAGUCUGUGACAGUUUGUCAGGCAUUCCUUAUAUUUCACUCCCUUGUCCCUCCUGAAAAGUAAGUACAUAUUCUUUUAAAGUAAUGAAUUACAUAAUUUGAAAUCCACACAUGUAGGCCCACAUGAAGUUUAAAUUAACAAUAACGGUAUAAAACAGAUCUAUAAUAUUAAGAUUUCAGAAUUAAUUCAAAGUCAGUUUGAGAAAUAAUUUGAUAAACUUGUUAACCCUGGAAGUGCAGGCCUGGAGCUACUCAUAUAGCAUUCGUGAUCUGUUGAUAGGCAAAUGGCUCCUAAGAAACAACCAUAAGACGUGGAGAGUAUAGCUCAGUGGUAGAGUGUGUGCCUAGUGUGUACAAAGUCUUGGGUUCAUCCCCGGCACCUCCACUAAAAAUAAAGAAAGAAAUGAAAAGAAAAAAACCUAAUUAGUUUCCCCCACCAAAUUAAAAAAAAAUUAAAAAUUAAAAAAAAGAAGAAAGUUUGAAAAAAAUGGAAAAAAAACUCUACCAUAUUCUGCAAUUAUAGGUGGAUAGUUAGGCAUAUUUCAAUUUGUUAUGAUUCUAGGUUGAUAUCACAGAUGGUAGCUCCAGUGAUGAUUUCAGCCCUUUCCUGAAGAAGAAUACAUUUUCAUAGCAUCACGGGUAGAAAACAGAUCUGCAUUGAGUACAUGUGAAAAGUUUUAGGGUUGUUCUAAGCUUUGUGAAUUCAUCUCCAGAAUGUCAUGAAAAUUGGCUUUUUGUUGGUUGGGUUUUAUUUUCAGCCCUUUUGCAUUUUCUUCAUGAAAAUGUGAGCCGUCCCAGUGGGACAAAAAUGCCUGGUGAUUCAGGCCUGUCCUCGAGGGAUGACCUUCAGAGGCAACCAAAAAUACCCAAAGUGUGAUUUUUUUUUUGUGAAUUUCUUUUGAAGUUGAGUUACACGUUUCUCUAUUUUUUAAAAUUCAUUAAUUCCGAUGAGUGUGGAGGCUCAUCUGCUAUGGAAAAUGCGUGCAGUCUCCAGUUGCUUGUUCACAUGUCUAGUUUCAGUCAGAACACUUGUAUUUUCUUGGUCAUAUCAGCAGUGCUCUGACACGCCCCCUUCCCCCACCACAGUCUUUGGUGUGUUGAGAUGUCUUGUCACAUCACAGAAGAACAAUCUUGUGAGUCGCUGGGGGGUCUGACAAGUUAAGCUACUCAAAACCCUUUAAUUUCAAGUGUUCUUGAUCUGAGGAAGCAGUUCAGUAAAUCUCUUGAACAAGUUUGCAUGACUGAGCCAUAUGUCUGCAUUAAAGUAAGGUAAACUUACGUGCUCUGUUCACCGUCUUUCAAGUAUUCCUUGAAUUUGUGAUGAUGAGGGCCGUGACCUUGAGUCAUCUUUGUCACUUCCUUCACAUCAUGCAGUGACACUGAUUCAUUCAUUCAGCAAGUAGUUAUUGAGCAGGGACUAUUCCAGGUACGGGGGAUUCAGCAGAGAACACCAGGCUUCUUUCCUAGUGGACAAGACGGGAACACAAAUCAGUAAAAUAUACAGUUUAGCGGAUGAAGUUACAUUCUGCUAUGGAAAAAAGUAAAUUAGGGGAGGGAGAUAGGGUGUGUGUGUUUGUGUGUGUGUGUGUUUGCCAUUUACAAUAUGGUGCCUGGGAAAAGCCUCACUGAGAUGAUGACAUGUGAGCAAAAACCUAAAGGAAAUGAGAGAGCAAGCCAGCUUGACUUCCUAGGAAAGGAGUGUUCAAAGCAGAAGGAACAUCUCCAAAAGUCAGGAGACGGGAGCAGGCCUGAGAGGCUGGAGGGGCUGCAAGUCCAGAGUGGUUGGAGGAGUGUGUGAAGGGAAGGGAAUAGGUCACAGGUGGUGGGUGCCAGAGCACGUAGGGUGUUGCGGGCCAUUGUGAAAACUUUGGCUUUUGCUCUGAGUGAGAUUGGAAGACAUUGUGGGCUUAACAGCACAGGAAUAAUGUGAUCUGGCCUUCUGAGGAAAAAGGCCUCAUUUGAUUGAAACUAGUGUUGAGGGGACAAGGAUAAAAGCAGAUGGAAACCUACUUCAGUAAUUCAGGUGAGGGAGAAUGGUGGGAGCAGUGAGGAGACAUGGUCAGGUUCUGGACGUGUGUGGAAGGUUGAGACAGCAGCAUUUCUUGGUGAAUGGGACAUACGAUGUGAGGAACAGAGGCCACCAGGCUUUAGCGUGUACGCCUGAGCAGGUGGAACUUUUACUGGUUCCAGAGAAGGGGAAGGCCGCUGGUGGAGCAGGUUGGGGGGCAGAACUUCAGGAGUUUGGUGAUGGGUGUACAUUGUAAACCAGACAGCGAAGCCUGAGUGGCCAGCCCCUUCGUGUGAACAUACUUCAGAAAUUUGCACACCCCCUCCCCUCCCCGUAGGUGCUCCAUCUCUGAAAAAUGAUUCAAACUUCUCAAUAUUUAAAUCAAGCGUCUUAAAUUCCUUGAUGGCAGGUAGUUGGUGUCUAUUAGCUGAUGGGGUUAAAAAAAAAAUCUCAUAUCUCAGGUGGGCUGCACUGUGAUAAGCAGGUUGCAUUAGACCCAAUGGUUCUGUGAGCCAUACAGAUGUCUCUCUGCCACCCCAUGCAGGUGAACCUGGAAAAUACAAGAAAACAAAAACAGAGCAAGGGUAAAACCUCAGUGACAAUUUAAAAAUAGAAUAAAUCAUGUUGUGCAAAUUCAGGUGCUGAAAACAACAGGGCUGGUGGGAAAAAUAAGAGUUGGGACAAAACACUUAAAACUAAGGAACUUUGUAACCAAGUAUAGCCCUAAUAGAAGUACUAAAAACACAAAACAAAACAAAACAAAACCGAGCACAGUUUACUGGUGUCUGCACCCAGUAUCACAAUCAGAAAGUUCUUGUAGGCUUCAGCCCUGGGGCUUCUGCUCUCUUCUUUGAGAAGUAGGUCUUGGAGGCUAUUUACUUCUAAUAGAGAUCUUUUCAUCAAAAUUAAAAGUCUGAUCCAGGAUAUAGCCUUCUUAAUUAACCCAUUGCUUUAAUACGGGGAGAGAUGUCUCUGUGGCGUCUUCAGCUGCAUUUGCAGUUUUGCCAGGUAGCUUAAAAGAAGGAAAGUGUAAUGAUUUUUGAAGCCACUGAAUCAGCCGCCAUUUACAAAAGUAAGUCACUUCUGUAGAUUUUUCAGCUCCACCCCCCCCCCAACUGAAGGUCUUCUUAUAUUGUUAAGGCUUUCUCUUUAAUUAUCAUGAGAAAACUUCAGUCUGAUUACUUGGAAACAUUAACAUGCUGAGAAAAAUUGCAUGUGAGCCAGUGUGACUUCUCCAUUAUAAUGACAUCAUUCAUCUGUUUGCCAGUGGUGUAUGAGGUAAUGCAUGUCAAAAAAACAUAUUUUUUUUUUUUUUGGCAGAACAGACUGCACUAUUGUCCUUGGAUGCCUUAGAGGUGACAUACACCCCAGGAUCAAAGUCAGACCUACCUCCUUAUUGGAUAGUCUAGAAUUUUUCUGUUUAAAAUACAUAGUCAGCAAGAAAAACCCUGACGGUAUCUCAAUAUUAUGCUCAAAAAACGUUUAAAAUUCAAUGUCUCUUCCUUUAAAAGGCCAUUUUAAAGCACAAAAGUGAAAAAUACAUCUUUAAGAAGAUCCACUGUCUUGAAUCAACAGCCAAUAUCUUACUUGACAGUGACACACUAGAGGAUUUUCUGUUUACUUCGGGAACAUAUAAGCAAACCUAUCACCAUUAGCAUUGUUCUAGAAGGUUGGGCCUACACUGGGAUUAGCCCCUUUGGGGCCAGAUGGUAGUGUCUGAGCCUAAGGGGAGAGAAGUUACUAGACAAAUGCUUAGCAGAAAAAGAGCAAUUGGACCAGAACAGAGGAUGUUUUUCCCUUGAUUUCUUCUUCUAAAGCCUGUGAUACUCUUGGCAGUGGUGCAUGUGUUUUGCUGUCUUCCUCUGUAUCUGCAUAUUUAUAAUUCUAGUUUCUCUGUUUUUUAUUCUCCCUUUGAUACCAUUCAGUUACUGUGAUAGUUUUCAUAAAUGUGAUCGUUAGAAAAAUCAGGCAUAGAGGAGUGGUCAUGUGCGAAAGCACAAAAGAUUGUGUCUAGACAGCGAUAAGAUGUCCCAGGGGAUUAUUAGUAGACCAGGAGGCCAAAGGUGUAUCUCAUUAUGGCCAAGGAGCCAUGGUAUUGUCAGGACGGGAAGCUUCCGAGUAUGGAGCCUGGGACUUCUGUCUCAUGUUUGUUGGCGCAGGGAUUCUAUCAGGGGCUUGCACUUUUACUCUACAAUGGACUCCUGUCUGCUCAUUUUGUAAACCAGUCUUAAAUGUACCAUCUUAUAAUGGGUUGUUUCUUUGUGAUCAUAUCUGUAGUUCUAAUAGAAGAUUGGUUUGGUAUGAGGUCAACUUUGUGCAAAGAAACAGAAUUUAAUUGGAUUUCAGAGAAGUCGAGAUCUACUGAGGAUGGGAACAAUAUUGUUAGAAGGUGUGGAGUUGUUUGAAGCCUGUAAUUGAGAAUCAUUACUUUGGGCAGUACAGAGAGCUCCAACUGGUCUGGGGGUGGGAUAGAGGUGUGGAGAGAGGGGGUAAAAAGUAGUUGCUUUUAAGGGGUUAAUGAAAAUUAAUCUUAUGAGAAAAGUGGCUGUAAGAGACACAUAGAGGACUGGCUGAUGGGAAGGAUAGGUUGCCGGAACUGGAUACAAACCAGUUAAGAUAUAAAUGAGGUCUGUCUGUGCUUGAGACUUGGCUUUAGAUAUGGGCAAAGUAGCUUCUUCUAUAAGUGGGAUGUUUUAAUGACUCAUUGGGCACGGAGAUUUACAGAUGCUCAUGUUUUUAGAGCAUUUAUUUAUUCAAAGUUGGUCCAUUAACAUUCAUUAUUAUUGGUUGUUUUUUUUUUAAGAGCAAGUUUAGUAUCUGUCAUUUAUAGGGCUAUUAAUUUGAUGAUUCAGUGUUCCUCCUCACUUAUUUGGCUGUUUCUAGUCUUUUUGUGUGAGUUUUCUUUCAUCACUUUAGGCCUUUAACUGGUUUUCAUUAAUUCUGCUUCUCCUGAAAACCUUUGCUGUUUAUGGAAUCACUCUAUUUCAGGAUUGGAAAGGACUGUGAUAGCCUCCUAAUCCAACAGUUAAUUUGAUGCUUGAGUCCCCUGUGUUGUCUUUUUCAUUUCAGACUUAAAUAAUUGAUAUCUUGAUUUUUAGUUGUUGGAUUUACUUAGAGGUUGGAUUUGGGGACUUCGUGACAAUUUGGCAUUCUCAGACCCAACAGUCAUUUGGAGAUAACCAGUUGGCUAUACUCUCGGGUGACUGGGGGCCAGCUGGAGAGGGUGUUGGUUGUGGGGAUAGAACCUUCCUCUUUUCUCCAAAGCUGGUUGGCCAAGGACAGUCUGCAGUUCUUGGAGCUGUCUGUAAUUUGUAUGCUGAAAUGCUGGGGAAAGUUCUCUAGAAGGAUUUGAAAUUAUAGCUCUUUAAUAUUUUCUGCUUAGAGAAUUUGAAUGCAGAAUCCUUGGUGUCGUUCAGGUUUGACUAAGGAAGCCCAGCUAAUGGCUGUCAGGAGGCUUGACCAAGUAUUGUCCUUAGAAUUCGCCAAGCCCUGGGGCUUUGGAGGCUCAGAAACUUGAUUUUGCUAGUACAUUAAGAGUGCAUCCUUUUAUUAAUAGUAUAUGCAUGUAAACCAAAGUUAUAAGACAAGUGCAUCAACUCAGGAGGCUAAUUUAUUAAACUGGCAUUCAGUCCAGAAGAUUUUUGUCAGCUUAGCUAGUAUUAGGGUAAAGCCAAAUCAUUAUUUAAGAAUUAUCGUACCUAUUCCUAGUAGAAAAGUAGUAUGGUUAUUAAAAAUCCAACCCAAAUUUGGACAUGUGUAAGCAGAGAGUCCUUUCUGAUCUCACCUCAUGAGGUAACAAUUGUUCACAGCUUAGUCUAUGUGUAUUCACCCAGACGGUCUGUGCCUGCAGUAACCUCCGUUGCUCUACUGCUUCAUUUUCUGUAGCUCUGUAGUUAUGUUGAGCACACUGCUUGUCAACUUUUGGGAAGCCAGAGGAUAGUCGGAAGGUCACCUGAUGACAUGGAAUCAGAUGAAGGGGAGUAGGCUGGAUGACUCACGGCGUAGCAGCAGCUCAGUAGCCCGGAUUGUCUAUUCAGCAUUGUAGAGUCUGCCAUCCUGGCACCCCUGCCCCAUGACAGUUUGGAAGGGCAGUGUCAGUGUAUAUCCUCAGAGUAUUAUUUCUAGCAUAACUGGCCAAUUACAGGUCUUGGCACCUACGACGGGCUGAAUAAAUAUUAGGUGUGUAUGUA